UACGUAGGCAGCAAGCGUUGUUCGGAAUUACUGGGCGUAAAGAGUGUGUAGGCGGUGUUCUAAGUUUGUCGUGAAAUCUCCCGGCUUAACUGGGAGGGUGCGGCGAAAACUGGAAUGCUAGAGGAUGGGAGAGGUAAGCGGAAUUCCGUGGAUGUAGCGGUGAAAUGCGUAGAUAUCAGGAGGAACACCUGUGGUGUAGACAGCUUACGUGGACCAUUUCUGACGCUGAGACACGAAAGCGUGGGUAACAAACAGG
rnacentral:rRNA from 1 species